AUUGAACGCUGGCGGCAGGCCUAACACAUGCAAGUCGAACGAGUGGCGGGCGGGUGAAUAAUAUGUGGGAAAGUGCCUGAUAGGGGGGGAUAACUACUGGACAGUGUCGCUAAUACCGCAUACUAUCGGAUAUGCCCAUAUGGGAUUAGCUAGUAGGUGGGGUAAAGGCUCACCGAGGCCACGAUCCCUAGCUGGUCUGAGAGGAUGACCAGCCACACUGGGACUGAGACACGGUCCAGACUCCUACGGGAGGCAGCAGUGGGGAAUAUUGCACAAUGGGCGCAAGCCUGAUGCAGCCAUGCCGCGUGUAUGAAGAAGGCCUUCGGGUUGUAAAGUACUUUCAGCCGGGAGGCGUUACCGGCAGAAGAAGCACCGGCUAACUCCGUGCCAGCAGCCGCGGUAAUAC
rnacentral:rRNA from 1 species